rnacentral:tRNA from 1 species
GGGUUGCUAACUCAACGGUAGAGUACUCGGCUUUUAAUGAAUCAAAUCACUAUUCAACAAUGUUCUUAUAAUCCC